rnacentral:rRNA from 1 species
GACGAACGCUGGCGGCGUGCUUAACACAUGCAAGUCGAACGAUGAACCAGGGCUUGCCCUGGGGAUUAGUGGCGAACGGUGAGUAACACGUGGGCAACCUGCCCCAGACACCGGGAUAACCUCUCGAAAGAGUGGCUAAUACCGGAUAUGACCACUUCGGGCAUCCGACGGUGGUGGAAAGGAUUCUGGUCUGGGAUGGGCCCGCGGCCUAUCAGCUAGUUGGUGGGGUAAUGGCCUACCAAGGCGACGACGGGUAGCCGGCCUGAGAGGGCGACCGGCCACACUGGGACUGAGACACGGCCCAGACUCCUACGGGAGGCAGCAGUGGGGAAUAUUGCGCAAUGGGCGAAAGCCUGACGCAGCGACGCCGCGUGAGGGACGAAGGUCUUCGGA